GGAUCCAUCAAGCUUGCUUGGUGGUGAGAGUGGCGAACGGGUGAGUAAUGCGUGACCGACCUGCCCCAUACACCGGAAUAGCUCCUGGAAACGGGUGGUAAUGCCGGAUGUUCCAGUUGAUCGCAUGGUCUUCUGGGAAAGCUUUCGCGGUAUGGGAUGGGGUCGCGUCCUAUCAGCUUGACGGCGGGGUAACGGCCCACCGUGGCUUCGACGGGUAGCCGGCCUGAGAGGGCGACCGGCCACAUUGGGACUGAGAUACGGCCCAGACUCCUACGGGAGGCAGCAGUGGGGAAUAUUGCACAAUGGGCGCAAGCCUGAUGCAGCGACGCCGCGUGAGGGAUGGAGGCCUUCGGGUUGUAAACCUCUUUUAUCGGGGAGCAAGCGUGAGUGAGUUUACCCGUUGAAUAAGCACCGGCUAACUACGUGCCAGCAGCCGCGGUAAUACGUAGGGUGCAAGCGUUAUCCGGAAUUAUUGGGCGUAAAGGGCUCGUAGGCGGUUCGUCGCGUCCGGUGUGAAAGUCCAUCGCUUAACGGUGGAUCCGCGCCGGGUACGGGCGGGCUUGAGUGCGGUAGGGGAGACUGGAAUUCCCGGUGUAACGGUGGAAUGUGUAGAUAUCGGGAAGAACACCAAUGGCGAAGGCAGGUCUCUGGGCCG
rnacentral:rRNA from 1 species